rnacentral:ncRNA from 2 species
CGUUUGACACGUGGUGAUUUAUGGCGACUUGCGGCCACGUAAAAUAAGCGGCUAAACAGCUCGGUGAAGCGCUCAC